GCUGAAAACAAAGAGAAAUCAGAAACUCGCCCCGCCCCUUGGUAAGGGAGAGGUCGAGAGUUCAAUCCUCUCUUGCAGCACCA
rnacentral:tRNA from 2 species